UACCAGCACCCCGAGUGGUCGGGACGUUUAUUGGGCCUAAAGCGUCCGUAGCCGGUUUUACAAGUCUUCCGUUAAAUCCAACUGCUUAACAGGUGGGCUGCGGAAGAUACUAUAGAGCUAGGAGGCGGGAGAGGCAAGCGGUACUCGAUGGGUAGGGGUAAAAUCCGUUGAUCCAUUGAAGACCACCAGUGGCGAAGGCGGCUUGCCAGAACGCGCUCGACGGUGAGGGAUGAAAGCUGGGGGAGCAAACCGG
rnacentral:rRNA from 1 species